rnacentral:rRNA from 1 species
GACGAACGCUGGCGGCGUGCUUAACACAUGCAAGUCGAACGGAAAGGCCCUGCUUUUGUGGGGUGCUCGAGUGGCGAACGGGUGAGUAACACGUGAGUAACCUGCCCUUGACUUUGGGAUAACUUCAGGAAACUGGGGCUAUAACAGCGUAGGAGCUCUUGAACCGGGUGGGGGAUGGGAAAAUUUCGGCGUUGGGGGAUGGACUAGCGGCUUACGCGCUGGUUGGGGGGGUAGGGACUGACAAGGCUUUUGACGGGUAGCCGGCAUAGGAGGGUGACCGGCCACAUUGGGACUGAGAUACGGCCCAGUCUCCUACGGGAGGCAGCAGUGGGGAAUAUUGCACAAUGGGCGGACGCCUGAUGCAGCAACGCCGCGUGCGGGAUGACGGCCUUCGGGUUGUAAACCGCUUUCUCCUGUGACGAAGCGUGAGUGACGGUAAUGGGUAAAGAAGCACCGGCUAACUACGUG